CCGGCUGCCCUUUAUUAUCACCGUGGCCAACAACUGUAAACAAUAUCAGCUAUAAAACAUUCCUCCUUGAAAAAAUAUUUUAUUGGUCUAAGUUCUACAGCUGAACAAAUGCUGUGGUUACCAUUGGCUUUUAAUAAAAGAUACGUAAACUUCAAAUCGAUAUAUUUUUUAUAACUCAUUCUUUAAAAAACAUUACAUUCCAUGCAGAAUUUCAUCCAGGAAACUCCAGUUUUACAGUGGGCCCCUCACACCUGCCCACUGGGCCACAUGUGCCCAUUUCCAGAAUGAGGUUGUGAGGUCUCCCUCCUUCAGAAGCAUCCAAGCUCCUUUCAUUCUAGGUGGGCACCUCCAUCGCCGUGGAAUUAGGCGUCUCUGCAUUGAAACAGUGGAUUCAAAGGAAACAGCGUCAACACUACGAUCAUAAAAACAAAAGAAGUAAAUUGAGUGAUUGGUACUUCUGUGUACUUGGACUUUUUAUUUGCAUUUAAAAUUUGAAACAGUGAAGUGGAGGGCAAAUUACAAGUUGUACUAUUUUUGUUUAGUAAGGGCACACGUUAAAUGUAACCAUUUCAUUUCAUGAUUAUUGCUGAAAAUAAUUUUGUCAAAUACAAGAGGGAGGUGUUCAGAAAUAACUCAGGCCAUUGUCAGACACUUAAGUCACACCUCAGCCUCUCGUCCCUCCCAAGUGUUAUUAAGAUAUAAUGUUUGGAGUUUAAAAGCUUUGUGGCACCAACAGAAAGACACCACAAUGUCGGUUUUGAUGAAUCCUCUUUGAAUCAAAUCACCACAAACCUGUGGUAGGUCUUCAUGUCUUCUCUGUCAUGUAUGUAUUUUUGUUAUGGGCACAAUGUGAAAUUAAGAAGAAGAUAUUUGGGCCCGUGUUGGGAUGUUCUGGGUUCAGACAUAUCACAGAAUGGGGCAGCAGGGGUGAUGACAACAGUAUUAAUGCCCCAAAUUGUCCAAGAAAGCCUGAUUCCUGAGGAAGAAUGCCUCAAGCUCAAAGCAAUGCAACACUGAAGGUGAUGAUGCCCCAUGUGAUACAGAUGAUAAGCUCAUGGCAGGGCUCCACGCCUUAUCUAUUUAUCUUAAAAAUAUUCAUGAUUCUUAAAAAGCACCCGGGCAUUGCCAAUCUGCUGUAGGGCACACUCCGCACCCUCACUCGGUUCUCAGCGGGAAGACAGAGCCUGGCCCGCGCUCCCGCCGCCUGCCUGGGUCUGUUCUCCUUUGCACAUUUGCAUGACUUCAAAGAGGAGGAAGUGAAAAGUUUCACAUUUACUUUCAACAGAUGAACAUGACAUCUUUAAAGAAGAGGAACAUGUAUCAGAGGUACUCUAGUGUUUUAUAUUUUUGUAAACAUUUAUUGACGUGUAGAAAAAAGUUUCAGUAACCUUUGCCUCCAAAUUAUUGGAUAACGGAAAGUCACGUUCUUUUUUUAAACUUUGGGUCCAUGUCUCCUGCUUGCUGUCAGUCACCCAUCGCUUUUCGCCUCAUUUGCUUAUUUUUACCAUUCCAAGAACAUUCCUACUCUGUUCUUAUUAGAUUAAUUUAACAACAAUGCGGUGUGAUUCUCCUGCAAGUGAUGCAUUUAACAACAAUCAUUAAUACGUUUGUGAGUCUCCAACUUACUAGCAAUACAACCUCUUCUUGUUAAUUUGCUCUGAACCCUAAUUAUUCUAACAGUAAAUAAUUAUUUGUCCAUUGAUGCAUUCUACUUAUAUCAUAAACAUAAAUAGUGCCUAUAAUAUAUCAGGUAAAAUUCUAAGCAGUUUAUAAUCUUAACUUAUUUGGUCCUCACCACAAUCCUAUGAGAUAGGUGCUAUUAUCAUGAAGAUUUUGAGGCACAGAGAGAUUGAAUAACUUGCCCAAGGCCACACAGCUAAUAAGUGGCAGAACCAGGAUUCAAAUCCAGGCUGCCUGACCCGUCACUUGAGCUGAACAACUGCCCUCUGCUUCCUCUCUGAAAAGAUUUAGGGAAGUCAGAGGCAAGCUGUCCUUCUCAUCAGGGAAGUACAAUCCCACUAAAAUGUUUCUUUUUAAGUUUAAUAUUAAUUUAAAAUAUAUUUGUUUUUAUCAAUUUUACACUAAUAAUAAUUCUAAUGAUAUGUAGAGAGAGUGUGGGAGAGAGAAAAUGGGCCAAAGUGUUAAUAAUUGAUGACAGGAAAAGGGUAUACAAACAUCACUAUAUUAUUUUGAAAAAUUUUUAUAAAUUUUAGUUUUUAAAUAAAAAGUUUAAAUAAAAGUGAAUCAUUUUAUUUUUAAAUGUUAAUGUUGAUAAGAUGUUAAAAGUUACAUUUAAAAGUAUAAAGAAAAUUUUAGAUCUAAAAUAAUAUGCAAGGAUGGGGCUGGCCCCGUGGCCGAGUGGUUAAGUUCGCGCGCUCCGCUGCAGGCGGCCCAGUGUUUCGUUGGUUUGAAUCCUGGGCGCGGACAUGGCACUGCUCAUCAAACCACGCUGAGGCAGCAUCCCAUAUGCCACAACUAGAAGGACCCACAACGAAGAAUACACAACUAUGUACUGGGGGGCUUUGGGGAGAAAAAGGAAAAAAUAAAAUCUUUAAAAAAAAAAAAUAUGCAAGGACGUCUCUAGGUUUCCAAGGUUCUUUUGGUAAUGGCAACAGGUACAAAGUUUGAAGACGAUGCUCUUAAGGAAUAUUUCAGGAACCUGCCAUGUGACUCUUUUGCUUUCACCCCAUUGGCCAGAGCUUGCCAUGUGGUCACCUGCAUCCCCACUCACAGGUGAGCUCCACGAAGUCAGACUUUAAUCUGGAGAUAGGAAUGGAAGAGGUUUAUUGGAAACAUUCUUGGAUUCAAUCCCUAUGAGGGAGAAACGAAGCAGGACUGGGCAGAGGGAAAAGGGGGAGGAAGAUGUCAUCACGACAAAGGCCUUAGCCAAUCCCACAGGAAGCUCUGGAGCCAGGAUGGCCCAGCAGAGUUAUCCCAAACUGGAACAAGGGGGCCAGACCUUUAUCCUUCCACAUCAGCCGCUCGCUGGAUGCAGGCCGGCCCUGGGAAGGGGCCAGAACCUUGGAGAAGCAGCUGUGCAGCUGACGCAAUCGCUGGAAGGGGAGACUCAGCUACAAGCUGUCAGCAAUGUCCUCCACAUCCCCCUUUCACAAAGAAUUGGAGGUAUAGAGAGAUGAAAUAGCUUGCCCAAUGUCACAGAGCUGGUAAAUGGUUGUAUCAGUUGUCUGUUGCCACAUUAAUGCUGCCUAACAAACAUCCACAAAACCUUUAAUAACAGGCUGAUACUAAUCAUUUACUUUUGUGCCUCAGUCUAUAGGUCAGCUAGAAGGUUCUGCCGAUUCCAGCCAGGCUAGGCUGACUUCACCUGGGCUCAUUCACGCAUUGGUGGCCAGGAGGCAGCUUUCCUCUGCCUGGCCUAGGAAGGCAUCAGCUGGGAUGACGUGGCCCUCCUCCACAUGGCCUCCUGUCUUCCAGAAGGCUAUCUGGGCCUGUUCUCAUGAUGGUGGGAAGGUUCCAAGAGAGAAUGAAAGGGCACAAAGUCUUUUGAGGCCUAAGAUUGGAGCUAGUAUGUCAUCACUUCUUCCACUAUAUUGGCCGAAAUAAAUCAUCAGGCCAAGCCCAGAGUCAGUGUGCUGGUCCCAGAUGGUCAGAGGAUGGUCUCGGGUGGCACAGAUCCACAGAGGCACGAGAACCCGGGGGCGAUCUACCAUAGUGAUGGAGCCAGGAUGCGCAUUCCAGAGACCUCGCUCUUAACCAUCAUUCCACCGCCACCUCCCUGCCAAAUCUUCUAUUAGUAUCUAUUCAAGUUCCAUCAAUUCGCGUGCCCAGAGCCUUGAUGGCACAGUGGAGGGACAAGUCCUACUUUUAAGGUGCUUACAGACUGGUUAAGGAGAUGAGACAUCCACCACAGAAAGUUUGGUAACAAUAAAAGCAAGACAAAUGGGAGGCGAGGGUGCUGUGGACUGGAGAGGUCGGGAGUGGGCGGGAGUGAUCUGUGUCUUGCAGAAUAUGCAGAAUUGAGUCAGAUGGCGAGUAUGGAGGGACAGAUAACUCUACUUUUUCUCCCUCCCCCAGGUACUGAUGCAGGGGAAGGAGAAGAGAGAGAGAAAGGGGACCCAUGAGGAAAGUGGCUCUGUAAAUCCCCUCUCGGUUGUGUCUUCAGCCUCUAAGGGUUUCCUUCUGUCUGCCCUGGAUGUGUACUGAGUGCCCAGCAUGCAAGGAACAGCAUAUUCAGUUCUUAUGGGAGUUUACUACCCCCUGUUGAGCAUGGUGGGUUCCCAGAAAAACUUUCAGUUUUACUGGGCAGAAGGGUAGACAGAGCUGCCAAAGGGACGACGAGCACAGAUGGCUUUAUAAAGGAAGAGAACGGAGCCACGGGAGGGAGAGGUCAGGAAGAGGGGCUGGAAGGAGACGGAAGGGGAGAGGUUUGAACAGAUGCUCUGAAGAGUGAUAUUUUGGGGACCGAGAGUGAUGUGUGAAGAGGCAUUUUUAAGGAAAUGUUGCUGUGUGGUGGGCCACAGGACCCUGUGCUCCAGGACAACAGCGCCUAGCACAGACCGAUAUGGCUUUCUCAAGGCUGCAGGAGUUAGAGUUCUGUUUCUUUAAUGCUGAGAUGACCUUUAGGAUCAAAACAAGGUAGUCAGUUUUCUUUGGCUUUCUUGCCAUAUGGCAGGCUGAUACACAGCAACCCAUUCAUUUUCCAAUAGGACUGUGGUAAAGGGGUAGGCUUUGGAGUAAGACAAAUCUGAGUGCACAUCCGGGCUUUUCUUCUUGCUAACUUCCCCAUCCUGCACGUGUUAUGUAACCUCUCUGAGCCUGUUUCCUCAUCUGCUGUGGGAGGAUAAUAUCUAACUUCUAGUGGGGUUUUUGUGAGGAUUAAAUGAAAUAAAUUGUCAGGUGCUUAAUUGUGCCUUGCACGUAGACAUUGCUUUAUUAAAAAGUUAGUGUUAUUAUUAUAACGAUCCUAAAAUGUGACGUUAUUAUCCUCAUUUUACAUACGAGGAUGGAGACUUAGAGAAGUGAAGUCUGCCUGUCCCAAAGGCCUCUGUGAAGGGCUUGCCUUUGAACAGAGACAUCGACAUGGAACAGAGAGUAGUAAAGAAUGCAUAAGGCCAUGACUGAAGGUCAUUUAGGCAGGCGGAAAGGAUUAAUGCAAAAUGAGGGUGGAGACCAGCAUAAAUGGGAGCGAGCUCAGAGGAAGACUUCCCCUAAACGCUCAUGGGGUCUCCCAUUUGGAGGCUGGCGGUUGGACCAAACGCCUGCUCUAAAGCCUUGGUAGAGGUGGGGAUUGGAUCCCAGCUGUUCCAUGUGCUGGCUUGUGACCUUUGCCAAAUUACUUUUCCUCUGGGACUCAGUCUUGCCUCUAUCAAAUGGGAUAAUACCAGUAGGACCUGCUCCAUCGGGUUGUAGUAAGGAGAAUGUUGAUUAGUCUACACUGAGCAUCCGGCACAGUGCCUGGCACACAGGCUGGUUCCUGAGAUCUAGGUGCCUGCCCACAUGAACCCAAACUGAGAACUUGAGUCUCUGAAGGAUGGGGAAAGGAUCCAGGGCUUCUAGAUCCCGCUAGAAUGACCCAAAUUGUGGUUCAAUUAUCCAAAAGGGGGUUCAUGAUACAGAUAGGGGUAUUCCCCAGAGCAUGAGGCAAUUACUUUAAGCUUGAGCUGGAGGUAUUUGGGUCAGCGAUGAGAAAGAACUUCCUGAAAGUCAGGGUUGUCAAACUAAAUUAGAAAUAAUGAUUUAGGACUGUUGCACUAGCGUCUACUCUCAGAGUAAAACGUCUGCCCAUCUUCCUGGGCUGGGUGCCAUGUGUCAUAAUGAGGGGGCCCAGACAGUCAGUCACCCUGGGCAAAUGAGCCUCAAAAUACAUGUGCCACCUGCAAGGGCUGGCUGUGACCCUGGACUAAGUGACAAAGGCCACAGAGGGAGUAGAAGUUGACCACAGUGGGUGGGCAUGGCUGUUCUAGUUUUGAAAACAUUUACAAGGACUAACCUGGAGCCUUAAAUUUCUUAACUACGUGUGCUCAGGCUGAGACCCAGGCUGAGGUGGAGGCCCAGUGUCAACACAGGCCUGAGGAAGGACGUCAAAUGACUACUUGGAGCAAGAGGGCUUGAAGGGAGUGACCAUUAUCUCACUGAUCAGAGCCACUUGAACGAAGGCACAGACUCUGGGAACAGCAUUGCUGGAGGUUAUCAGGCAAUAGAAGGGACAUCUGCCAAGGACAUUAGCAGCAUUCCUGGGUGGGGAGGAGUGUUUGGUUGCAAGACCACAUGGCUCCCGUUGAACUGGGACAAGCCAGGGCCUGGGGGUCUGUCCACACCCGGCCCCCACAACUGAGUCAAAUCCAAUUGCAUUUCCAAGGGAUGUCACUAGGGGAGACCAUGGUCCCCAGGGGCCAUGGGGCAAAGUUAGAGAGACAUGAAAUAAAACGCCUCCAGAGAUUAUUCACGUUUGAUUCGGUCUUGCCAUUCUUGAAGGCCUGAGCUGCCUAGGAGGAGAGAGAAGUCGCCUUAGCUUCCCGUGCUAAGGAAGCUGCCAGGGAUCCUGAGCCGUGAAGCCCCAUGGUCUGGCUAAGAUUCCACAGUCCCUCUGGUGACUGAUCAUGUCAGGAGCAGGAGGGGGCAUGGUCAGAGCACAGACCUGGACAUUCAAACAUCCAAGGUCCGCCCCAGGAAAUCCCAAGAAGGGCGACCUACCUUUGGAGCCCUUGGCUCCUCUUCUCCUCACCUUCCCUGAGCGUCCGCCAGAGGCAAAAGCCCACACUCUCAGUCUUGGCUUAAUGUAGGAAAAGCAUUCAAUAAACUACCUCUUCACAUUAAGGCAGAGGAGCCCUUCCUCCCGCAAGGCAGACAUUGCUAAGCCAUCUUAAUGCUCUUUCUUCUGAGCAGCCCCCUGUCGUCUACAGAAUCCUUCUCAUCAUAAUAUUCUAGGAGAACCGCUACCAAUCCAUCAGAAGUGGCGCAAACUGAAGUGGCAUGUUUGUCCCGAGGGGUCAGGAGCCUUUAGAAGGAGCACCAAGGAAAUGCCAAAACGACAGUGAUGAACCAGGAAGGCCAAACUGACGUUCCGGAAGAAUUUCGGGUAUCUAAAACCAAAGGCUGCUCCUUUGGGCAGGGGUGGAGAGAUGACCAAGGAGGCGAGUCUGCCUACAGGUUGAUUCUAUCUGGGUCCACUAGCAAGUCAAUGCGGUUCACUUCCACAAUCACUGGAUGCCGGUCUUGUUACAGCCCCUACGCUAGGGGCUGGUCCCUGCCCUCAAGGAUCCUGAGUCUGGUGAGGGACAGGGGCAUCUACGCAGACAGCAGCAGUAGUGGGAAGAAUAAGAGUGGCGCCUUUUAGGGGCCGGCCCGGUGGCGCAGUGGUUAAGUUCGCACGUUCCUCUUCUCGGCGGCCCGGGGUUCGCCGGUUUAGAUCCCGGGUGUGGAUAUGGCACCGCUUGGCAAGCCGUACUGUGGUAGGCGUCCCACAUAUAAAGUAGAGGAAGAUGGGCACGAUGUUAGCUCAGGGCCAGACUUCCUCAGCAAAAAACAGGAGGACUGGCAGUAGUUAGCUCAGGGCUAAUCUUCCUCAAAAAGAAAAAAAUGAGUGGUGCCUUUUGAAGAAGCACAGUGACCCAGGCAGUGGAAAGCAGAAAGUGACCACUCUGGUUGGGGAUCAUCAGAAGUCUCCUGAAGGCGGCAGUCCUCGUGAAGGACCGUGAGGGAGGUGGAAGUGGCGAUGGGAGGACAAGGGUCAGACACGCUCUGCCAGCUGAGGGGAGGGGCCUAAGCAAAGGCAUGGAAUCAGGGCAGCCGAGGCAGGUUCAGAGAGUGGCCGUGGCCAGGGGUGGAGGAGGAGAGAAGCAGCUGAAGGUAGGAAGUACAUUUGGGGUCAUACUGGGAAGCCCUUGAAUGCCAGGAAGACAGUUUGUCAUCCUAGGCCCCCACCCGGGGACUGGCUGCUGGGAGGGUGGGAUGUCCUCAGGAAGCCCUUGGGGCAACCUCUCAGGAGGCCUUUGGGAAAGGCUGCCUUUUCCUCCUUUCUUUUUAAAUACAUCUUUGUGUCUUUGCUCAUGCUGUUCCCUCCUCCAGAAAUUCCCUUCCCUCCUUCUCUGCCCAACAAACCCCUACCCAUCCUUAAAGUCCCAGCACAGAGUUCACCUCCUCUAUGAAGCCGUCCCUGGUUUCCUUAUAUUGUUAUUAGUCCCCCCAAAGUGUUCCCACAGCUCCUGGUUCAUCCCUUCCAUGUACAACAUAUAUCAGUGUUCUGCUCACCUUUAGUCUGUCUGUCUCCCCGUUCGUCUGUAAUCUCCCAGAAGUCACACACAAUCCGUUACAGUAGGAUUAGGACUAUUCCUCAUACUAGGAAUACAUAUUCUGUAUACUCCUAGUACGUUGCACAGAUGAACACUGCCAAUAAGCAGGGAAGGAAGGGAGGGAGGGAGGAGGAAAGAAGAAAAGGGAGGAAGGGCACCAGUUCUGGUCUAAGGCACUGGCAGCUGUGCCCAGUGGCCUGGCCUCCUG
ensembl:lncRNA